UACGUAGGUGGCGAGCGUUGUCCGGAUUUACUGGGCGUAAAGAGCGCGCAGGCGGUCGUUCAAGUCGCGUGUGAAAGCCCCCGGCUCAACUGGGGAGGGUCACGCGAUACUGAUCGACUCGAAGGCAGGAGAGGGAAGUGGAAUUCCCGGUGUAGUGGUGAAAUGCGUAGAUAUCGGGAGGAACACCAGUGGCGAAGGCGGGUCUCUGGACAGUUCCUGACGCUGAGGCACGAAGGUCAGGGGAGCAAACGGG
rnacentral:rRNA from 1 species